UCGGAUAUGGUGUAACGGCUAACAUUGCCGCCUCUCAUCACUUGCGUGCGCGGCAGCUCGGGGUUCGAUUCCCCGUAUCCGAA